UAAUCAUUUGUCUAUUAAUUGUAGACCAGUAUGAAAGGCCACAUGAGAGCCAAACUGUCUCUUGUAACCAAUCAAUUAAACUGAUCUUCUAGUACAAAAGCUAGAAUAACCAUAUAAGACCAGAAGACCCUGUGAAGCUUAAACUAACCUACUAAACAAACUAGUAGCUACUUUCGGUUGGGGCGACCUUGGAACAAAACAAAACUUCCAAACACAAUGAGCCAUCCCUCAUAACCACCAGGCAAACAAGCCAACAUAUGACCCAGUAACACUGAUAACUGAACCAAGUUACUCCAGGGAUAACAGCGCUAUCUUCUUCAAGAGCCCUUAUCAAAAAGAAGGUUUACGACCUCGAUGUUGGAUCAGGACACCCAGGUGGUGCAGCCGCUACCAAAGGUU
rnacentral:rRNA from 1 species